UUUUGAAAUCAUUUUGAAAUCUCCAUUUAACUUGUUUAACAUGCUAAAUGAACCAGUUACUUUAAUUGGCUUUUAUCCAAAAGUAAUUAUGAUUUUGUUGACAAACUGUGAUAGUUGUACCAUAUUUAGACAGUGCAGUCAAUUCAUUCAUGAUUUUAGUCAAUAAAGGAGUGAUUGUAAAAAGCAGGGUCACCAUGAAAUAAAUGAGGCAGACUGAAGGAUUCACGAA
rnacentral:lncRNA from 1 species